UCUAAUCCUCAGAGUACCAGGCUCCUGGAGGCACUGGGUCAAGAAAAGAUCUUUUCCACUCAGGACUAUUUCUAAUAGUAUAUUUGGUUGUGCGGUCUGCUCAACAGGAGAGUUACAUGAGUGCUCAGUCCUACCAGAAACAAAUAAUAUUCGGGUCCUACUAGCAAAGACAACUGAGCCAGCUAGUCCCAGAAACUAAAGUGUUGAAGAACCUGUUGGUCGUUUCUUGUUCCCAAGGUACAGACCAGCAUGAGCUACGCAAGACUCAAACAACUGUUUGUCACCAGUAUCGAUGAUACGCCAUCCCUGAGGCUGGCCCGGGUGGUGAACCAAGCCGAAGAAGCGAAGGUGGCCAAUGAGAUCCGAGUGUAUGAGAAGAUAGCCAAGAUCCGAUACUUUGAAUUGAACAGGGAGAUAGAACUCCUGGAGAAGUUUUUGGAGGAAUUAAAGAUUACCACUGGCUAUUUAAAAGACACUCCCAUAGUGAAUGUGUGGUGAGAACUGAGGGAAUAGGGUGGCUUGGGGGAAGGGCAUUUACGAAGGUGAGGCUCCAAAUUUAGGGUGACAGCAACCAUCCAUCACCCAGAGGCAUCAGCUAUGGGACAGCAGCACUUUCCACUAAGAGAGUCCAACAUUGCCUUCAUGGACUUACCUGUGCUUCUUGGAGUGGACAAAGAUUCUCCCACAUACAAAUAAGGGUUUACAGAGUUGAUGGCAACUCAAAAAUCAGAACUUAACUAAUUCAAUAAUCCCAAUGGAAAUUUUAUUUUGGAUACCAUUUCUCUUGCUUCUAUUAAGCCUAAUUUCCAGGGCAUAGCUGAUGUGGAGGCAUUUGAAUAAACUAAUUAUAGAGAAUCUCACUCCUAUUAAUGUACUGAAACUUAAAAGAUUUUUGUCCCUGGUCUUGCUUAUAAGUGAUGCCCCAAACCCAUGAGGGCAAGUUCCCAAAUGGGCCAAAGAAAAGUCAACAACAAAUCUUGUCCCUGUGAUCAAAGGACAAAGAGCUGCAUUUGUCUUGCCUUUCUCCAAUGUUUUCAUAGCCACGAACUCUCCAAAGCCUUACUCUUCCACAUUCUACUCUGGUGUUGCUAGCAUUCUAUUUUGUCCAUUCAUUUAUCUCAGCCUCAAAGAAGAAACUUUUUUAAAAUCUAUGUAUAGUAUGCAAAAUAUAUAGAAAUAAACAAUAUGUUAUAUU